AAGGCUAAUCUUCGCGGCACCACAGUAACAUUGAUACCCUUUGGUGCAAAUAUAACUGCCUUGUAAGUACUCCUUGACUUUCCCACAUUUGUGACAGUUCGAGAUACUGAGUAAUUGUUUCUGAGGUUUGGUACUGUGAUGGAGGGAUAAUUUAGUUCAUUUGGCGAUGCAAAGGUUUGAUCACACGUUCUGUUGUCCCUUGUAAUUAGAUGCAGA
rnacentral:misc_RNA from 1 species